UACGGAGGGUGCAAGCGUUAUCCGGAUUUACUGGGUUUAAAGGGUGCGUAGGUGGGCAGUUAAGUCAGUGGUGAAAUCUCCGGGCUUAACCCGGAAACUGCCAUUGAUACUAUUAGUCUUGAAUACCGUGGAGGUCAGCGGAAUAUGUCAUGUAGCGGUGAAAUGCUUAGAUAUGACAUAGAACACCAAUUGCGAAGGCAGCUGGCUACACGAAUAUUGACACUCAGGCACGAAAGCGUGGGGAUCAAACAGG
rnacentral:rRNA from 1 species